AGUUUCGACGCCCCCAAGGGGGCGGGGCACGUGACUCCCCGCGGAGGGAUCCUGCACUUCCUCCACGGACUUUAAAAAAGAGUCCCGCCCCUAAGCUGCCGUCUCGAGCCUCUCUCGCGGCCUCCCUAGCUCUCCUUGGCUUUGCCGAGCCAGUCCUCCCGCCUGGCGCUAGGGCGGAGAGCGGAAUCUGGGCGUCGGGCUUAUUCCGCGAUUGAUCUGCGUUGGGGAACGGGGGAAGACAGAGGGGCGGAAGGAGAUCGUUUCUGGUCUCAUUACGCCUUUUAAAGGUCCCCGAUUUGUUUUGUUUUCGCUGUUUUGAAAAGUCCGCCCAAAGUAGCCGGCUCUCUGAUUGGAUGCGGGUGGGGCGAUGGGCAUGCUGAGGACCUGAUUCACCCUCGAAUCUGGAUUGGCUAACUUAUCAGUCUUGGAGCCCUCUGAUUGGCUUUCUCCGUAGCCUGAGCCUCUCUCUGCCUUGGGGCCUUAGCAACUCCAGGGUCUGGAUUGCGCAUGCCUGGGUGUGCAGCGGAGAAGGUAUUCAGUUACCUGCCCUGCGGGGCUGUGCCUUCUCGCCUGGCUGCCUCCGCCUUUCUUGGGGGAAUGUCACGCUCGCGGCGCUUCUCCUAACAGCUAACCUUUGUGACAGCCUUUUCAGCCACGGGAGAGUUUUCUACAUUCCUUCUUUAUUUUGUCUUGGCGUUCCAUUUUGCAAUAACCCACCAAAUUAUUAUAACAUUGUCGGGGCGUUUACUAAAAUAUUCAAUAAAUGCUACAAGUUUGGGUAUUUGCUUUAAAAUUUUACAGUCCAAGAGAAAAAAAAAUGGAGAAGAGAGGUGAAAUAAGAUAGGCAAAAAGUUGAGGGUCGAAGCUGGGUGAUGGGUACUCGAGGCUGCAUUACAGUAUUCUUUCUAGUUCUGUGUCUUGGAAUUUUUCCAUAAUUUAAAAAAAUUCAGGAGGGACUGAAGGAGGGGCUUUUCAAUAAAAACUUAGCACGCUGAUGAGGGUACGUAAACAUCUAAUAAUUACGGCGUACCUCCAGAGGUUGUAGUGCUGUUGUUUUAAUGAAGACUCCCAGAGCUUCUUGGUCCUUGGUAACCCAUAAAUUAUCAUUUAUUGUUCAUUAUAAUUAGCGUUGUUAUUAUAGGCGACACGUCUCCCAGGACGGGACAAAAAGCAAACAAACCAGGUGCCUUAGGCCAGAGACACUUUCACACGGAAUAUCAAUGGGGCAUGUGGUUGACUGCCCUGGAACAUUUAUUUGUUUACUCUCUCCCUCCUAAAUUAGAAAAUACCAUAUUCGUGAGUUCUAAUCUACAUAAUCAGAUAGUCCCUGGGAAGAGAUUUCUCCUUUCUGUUCUUCUAUGUGUUUUCUGUGAAUUAUUUUGUUACUUGUGAAAUAUGGGAAGGCACACAACAUAGCUUUGGCAGCGCUCUUCUUUGCGGAGCAGCUAAGGAAUUUUAAAACUAGGUCCCUUUGCAUAUUAGCUCGGACUAAACACAGGCAUCUGUUUGGAGCACAGAGCAACUGGGGGAAGGCAGCCCAAAAAGCUAACACUUAUUUCAGAGAGGUGUGAGCUUGGUGAGGGUUUUGGAAAAUAAGAUAAAAUUAGCACACCAGUUUUAAAUGAUUUACAGGCUACAUAAUUUUAUCCAAUGCUUGUUUUAUCUUUUAAACAUUAAGUGAUAACUUUUAUUUGACAUAAUCAUCUUGCUGGAAAUCUAUGCUGAUAAACAUAAUAGGAGCAUGAAACUAACUUAGAGACUAGAGCUAAGAUUAAAAUUACAGAGAUGACAGCUCAUUGUACAGAGCAUCAAUAGGCUGAGUGGACAGGGCCCACAGACAGAAAGCAGCUCGACCAACUAUCCACCAUCAGAGAAAUGAAGAGUUUGUGAUCAAAGCAUGAAGGAGACUGGGGAUGUUUUUUUCAAGUAAGAAGGCAAAGACAGCCUCUUGAAUGAUGUGAACAGUGAUGGCUUUCUCUGAGAGUAAGACAAGAAAGCUUUGUAAAUGGCGUUGAAUUUCCUGCUCUUGGCAGGCCCUGCUCAGCACAGAAGAAAAGACUGAUCAAGUUGUCCAAGAUGGAGCCCUUUAUCCACGUUAGUCCACUUAUCUCUUUAAGAUUAAAGGAAAGCAAUCAUUAAAAA
rnacentral:lncRNA from 1 species